UGGCCAUACAGCCCGAAAACAUACAACAACCCUGUGAUCCCGGCCAUAAAAGCCUUUGACAACACCUCCUCCAAUGUAAUUUCCAGUGAUCAAGGACAUGGACUUUAUAAUUCACAUUUCAAACGUCAUGAACCAGGACAUCUUGGUGGUGUGUGUGAAAUAAUACUAAAUUUAAAUGGAAAUUCAAAAAGGAUCUCAGUCAAGGGGUGCACUAACAAUGGGUUUGUGAGUAUUACACCAUAUUGCAAACCGAAUAUGUUAUAAAUUGGUGGUAAAAAGACAUGUUUGAGAGGGUAAAAAUUAUAACAAAUGGGAUCAAACCAUGGCAAAAUGAUUAAACCAAUGUGAUCAUAUUUUGACUAUAUCAUGAGAUGGCACAACUCAUUAGAAAAGACAAUAAUGUGUCGUCAAAGGCUUUCAUGGCCAGAAUCACUGGGUUGCUGUGAGUUUUCCGGGCUACAUGGCCAUGUUCUAGAAGUAUUCUCUCCUGACGUUUCACCCACAAAGCUGCAAGGCUUUUUGAUGCGAAUCAAGGCGAUUAAUUGCAACAUUCACACUUGCCUCAAACAAACAAGAGUUCUCUCCCACCCUGGACAUUCCACAGAUACAAAAAACCCACUUGCUUAGUUUCCAACAGACCUCACAAACUCUGAGGAUGCCUGCCAUAGAUGUGGGUGAAGCAUCAGGAGAGAAUGCUUCUGGAACAUGGCCAUACAGCCCGAAAAACUCACAGCAACCCAAAGACAAUAAUGCUGGACAAAGUAGAAGGCAGUAGGCAAAAUGGAAGGCUGCUUUACAAAUCAAUAGCUUUCAAUUAAGGAGGUCUGCUGGACCUAUUAAUAACCAUGGCUCUUGGAGACCUCUUAUUCAUUGGGUCGCCAUUAGCUGAAAUCAGCUUGAGAGCAUACAGCAAUAACAUUUGAGCUUUCUCACAUGGCAGCAAGAUGUCUUUGUGCUGGCCCAGACAAGCUUAUAAAUCAUACAUGGGGUUGAAAGAAAGAAACCUUUAGCUAAACUUGGAAAGUAUCUUCUGCUGACAUUUGUGGAAUUGCUUGAUAGACUGCUGACAAAGGAAAAGAAAACAUUCCAAAGGGUAACAAGUGAAGACCAGGCUUAUUUAAACCCAGUCAGCAUUUUCCUCGUGACCUACCAUUGUCUCUUAGCCAGUUUCUCUUCAGCAAGAAGAUUGGAAGGUAGAGGCACACAACAACAUGAUUUCUAAAUAUGAGAUUAUUCUAAUGGACGAUUCCAUUUGUAAGAUUUUUGAAAGCUGGAAAGCUGUUGAGAAAUAGCUGGGGAGAAAAUGGAGGUCUGCUCUUUGGAUAAGAAAGACAACAGACGAAAGAGUCUUUGGCUGCUUUCAAGUGUGGAUUGGAAACAAGAAAGUGGUCUGGGAGCACUGAAUAUUCAAUAGCUUUUAAAAUUAUUAAGGGGUAAACCUGGCCAGUAACCUCAAUGGGACACAACUAGAAAUUCCAAGUAUGAACUGGCUAUAUCUUUUUUAUUUUUUUUUCCAUUGUGGGCCGUGGCCCACUGAUGGGCUGUGAGACCUAAAAUAAAGUCCACAAGACAUGUGGGGAAAGUCAGCUCUAGAUUAUUAAAUAUGGUUUUCUGUGGGCAAGUAGAUGGCGACUACUGGAUGGUAUAUGUUCUGUAUCAGAAACUAGAGUUGAUGUGGUCUAUCCAAUGCAAUUUUCUGAAUCAGCACCCCAGAUAACCAAAUCGAAUUUAAAGUUGACCAAAAACUGAUUUGAAACCCUUUUGGUACUAAUGUUGAAGAGUGAUCCUUGGUCAAAGUGGUCCCUGGUCAAGUGGUCCCUGGUCAAAAAAAGGUUGAGAACCACUGGUCUAAGGAAGGAGGAGAUAUUUUUACAAGUACAAUAAAGGAGAAGAUUUGUUUCUGUUUCACAGUGUUGUGAUGAACACGGAGCUGAGAAAACCUGUUAUAUUUCUCAAAGGCAAAGAAGAGGUUCGUCUUUUAUCUUCAUGCAAUAGAAAGCUGUGAAUACAAGAACAUGAAACAACUCUCCUUAGUUUCUGUAGCCUUUCCCCCCAUUGACUUCAGGAAGCUCAUGAAGAGCCAUUUGGUAAUAUAUUGGCCAAGGGCAGAUACUGCUUCUGCGCAUUGACGACUAAUGACUAUCCUUCUGAACUGAGUUACAAAAUCUGUCUGGGUUCAUCAGAGGCUGAAUUCGGUGCCAUGAAUUUGUUUUGGUAUGACACACACCACCAGCUUGCUCUUGUGCUAUCGUUUUAUUAUUUAUUUAUUUAUUUAUUUGCAACAUUUAUACCCCGCCCUUCUCACCCGAGGGGACUCAGGGCGGCGGUUUUAUGCAUGGAUCUCCCAUGGAAUCUACUUUCAGAUCUCUUCCAUGUAGAAACAUCUUUUACCUCAGGUAACCUAGCACUGGGUGGUUUGUAGUGUAUCUUCAGGCCUGAAUCUCAGUUUCACACGAAGUUGUUUGGUCUCAGGGUUUGGUCACACAUUUCAGAGAAUGGAUGGGUAAUCUUUGGCCUUCUAGAUGAUGUUGGACUCCAAUGUAUGGGUGAUACAAUCAUAAACAACUACAACUUUUAUCUCAGAAAAAAGUAGAUAUGAUUGGCUUUCUAGUCCCAGCAACGUUGUCUUUAGUGCCAGUUCAGAGCCCAUGGUGUAUAAAGUAUGGGCUUCAACUCUGUGCGCAGUCACACAAAGUUCACAGAGCAUAAAAUGUUACUUUUUUGGACUCCAGCACCCCAAAUCCUUUAGCCAGCAAUUGUAGUUUAAAACAGCAUCUUUUCCAGGUUCUGUAGCAGCCCAUUUUCCAAAAACGGUAUGCAAUAAUAUAUGAAGGAGCUCAAGAGCUUAUCUUUGUCUCCUCAUGGAACAUAACUCUCUCUUUAGUCCAGCUUUCAGACAUUCUUUCUUUCUCAAAUGAAAGCUAUCUAUUUUGCAUCUGAGUUCACUCAAACAGGUUUAAUUUUUAAAGUUAACCUAUAUUUAACUCUUGUUUCAUUUAAGAUGAAGUCAGCACUCUUAUCUCUCUUGUUUCUCAUUACUCUACUGACUUCGCACUGACUACCUUCAGAUCAGCAAAGUUUUCAGCAGCUCACUCUUUGAGGAAGGAACAUGGCUUUUGCUUGUGCUUGGUUUCCAUUCAUGUCACGUCACUGCAAACUUGGUAGAAGCAGCAGGCAGCAUUCAUUCUCUCUCUCUCAUGUGUUACGAGAAGAGAAAAAGCUCUCCACUUGCUGGAGAGUCCGGGCGUUCCCAUCUACAAAUGGCCUCAUUCCCUUUCAGUUCCUUCAGUGGCAUUGGAUUGUGUUAACAAUAAUUUUUGGUUUAAAAAUACAGAAGGAAAAUAUUUCCAAACCGAUAUAGGGAUCAAUAGUGCUCAUUUUCCAUUUAGUUUACUUAUGAUUGAAUUAUCACCAGUUGUGUUUGAUUUGCAUUUCAUUGUCAUGUGAGCCAUCUGUUCUUAUCCCCUGCUCCACCCCAUCAAUACACCCAUGGUUGCUUUCCCACCUGCCAACAGAGAAUAACAUUUUAGGUAAAUGAUGAAGUUGACUUGAGUCCAUGGAAGCUCCUGCCAUAAUUUGUGUGCCUAUCUUUCAGAUUCAGUGAGACUCCUGUUUUGAGAUACAUUGAAAUGUGUGUCAGAAAAUGGACUUUGAGGUAGGUUUGCUUCAGCAAAACCAUAUGGAUAUACUGACUUCUGGAAAGGUCAUGUAAAACUAUUGAAUGCAGAAUGUCUGUUUUCAAAAUGCUUUUUAAGGACUGUAAUUUAAAAACAACUUCCUCUCCCCCAAAAAGGUAUUUGGAGCAUAUGCAUGCAGCUAUCUCUAAGAAAUGUAAGAGAAAUACAGGAGCCUGGAGGAUCCCAAAAAAUUAGCUAAAAUCUAAACAAGGCUUGUUAGUUUAAUUUGUGUUUUCAGGGCAACUGUCUUGGCUCAUUCUGAUGCUUCCCCCUCCAUGAACCCCCUGCUGCUUAUUUGCAUACAGCCAGAGCCUGGAGUAUUAGGACAAAAAACCAAACUCGGUAAAGUUUUCUUCAAAUGGCCCCACGCUAAUUCAGUUUAUAACUUGUGAGAAAAUGUGUAAUGCAUUAUGUUAAUAUGUAAUUUAUGUAUGGUCUUAAGUUGUAAAUUAAUUUUUAGUUUAUGGAUUGUGUUAUUAGUUAUUAGGUAUUUUUUAAAAUCCUGGGAAAAUAAAGAACAUUUUAAAGAGAGACACCCUAUCUAUGAGCCUUGUAUCUAAAUUCAAACCCUACUUUCCUGACUAAACAGAGCAAACUGCAGCCUUCCAGGUGUUACUGUAGCACAACUUCCAUCAGCUUUGUUCAUGAUACCUAGUGAUAAAGAAGACAGGAGUUGUGAUCCAGCAUCUGGAGGGCCGCAUCAAAUGACAUGGUGGGCCAAAUUCGGCACAGGUCUUGAGUUUAACAUAUGUGAUGGAGUGAAAGGGGUCCUACAUCAAAUUUUCAGAUGCACAAAACUGAAGGGGUAGCGAAUACAAUGGAAGAUAGGAACUGAAUGUGAAAGGACCUUGAUAAACUAGAAAACUGGUCUGAAAGAAUAAUAAAAUGAAAUUCAACAGAGACAAUAACAACAGCAACAAAACAAAUGCAUUGAUCAGGAUACUUGACUUAGUAGUUCUCUCUAUAUUCUUUGAGCUGCUUUGAGUCUCCUGCAGGAGAGAUGAAGCAGGGUAUAAAUACAAUAAUAGAAAUAAUAAAUAAAUAAAUAAAUAAAUAAAUAAAUAAACUGUACUGACUGGGCUGCAGUUGGAGUAAAAUGGCAAUAUCAAGUGUUACAAUUUUAUGAGAAAACAUCAGAAUUGACAUCUUUGAUAUUCUGUUGUAGGUAGGUAUCUAAUUAUCGUGUCACAGUUUAAACCAUUUCAAGCUUGACAAAGCCUUUCUUGUAACCUAAAUAGCCUAAAAGUAUCAGAUCCUAUCUGAUCUUGGAAGCUAAGCAGGGUCAGCUCUGGCUAAUACUUGGACAUAAUACCAUGUGUUAUGAGCAAUAUUUCAGAGGAAGGAAUUGACAAAAACCACUCAACUGCUUUACCUACACCAACCACAUAAUGCAGCACAAGCACAAAAAAUGUUUUCAGAUUGUUUGCUUCCUAUAAUUCAAACAAGAAACUUGCUCAGCUCUCUGGCUUCUUUGCCUUUACCCAUCCUCUUGUUUCAGCAGUUGUAAAUCUGGAUAAAUUCAAAGAAGGUAGGAAGGUGGUGCCAGGACCCUUUAAAACGAGGCAUUGGAGAUUGGACAUUCAAAUAUUGUUGCUGAUAAUGAACCAGGCCCAGAUCAAUACAAUUUGCUGCCUCAGAUGCUGCCAUGGGAGCAGGGGCGGUCCAACCGCAAGGUGAUUUAGGCACUUGUCUGUGCCGCCAUAGUCUCGGGGGCGCAGUUGAGGCCCCCGGGAGGAUGACGCCACCCCACCACCACCUUCUCCAUUGGGCCUUCCUUCAGCCUGUGCCCGCCUGGGCCUUCCGGCAGCUGCACUGGGCCUUCUGGCGGCCGAUGUGGGCCUUCUGGCGGCCACGCUGGGCCUUCCGCCGCCCACGCUGGGCCUUCUGGCCGGCGCAAACCCACCUUCGUGCUGAGUAGGCCCGCCUUCGGGGCUUUCAGAGGUUGUGAGCUCUGUUGGAACUUGGAAGCUAGAAGUUGUCAGUCAUCGGCAGACAGCCAAUGAGUGGGGAAUUAUAAGUGAGCAUCGUGUGAUAUUUGUUUUUGACAAAAUGAAAGAAAAACUUGAACAAACCUACUGCAUUAAAUUUUGUGUAAAGUUUGCCUGCAACCACUUCAGAGAUGAUCACACAUCAGUGGAGAGUUUCUCAAGUCACUCCAGACACGAAAAAAAUGGAGAAUGAAGCACGUUCUGGUAGGUACUCAAAAUCCAGAGAUCGUCAUCAACGAAGUGAGGACCCUGGUGAUGCAGAAUGGUUGAAUCGUGAUCAGAGAACUUGCAGACAAAGUGAGCAUCAGCACUAGAUCUGUUCAUUCCAUUUUGACUCAGAAUUUGUGGUUCAGGAGAAUCUCAGCGAAGUUCGUGGCGAAGCUACUAACAAUUGUACAGAAGCAACUCCAUUUGGAGAUCAUACAAGACAUGCUGCAGACUGUGAACAGUGCUACCAACUUCCUCAACACAGUGGUCACUGGUAAUGAGUUUUGGUUUAUGGGUAUGACCCAGAAACCAAGUUGCAAUCAUCACAAUGGAAGCAUCCAACAUCCCCGUGGCCAAAAAGAAACAAGGCAGGCCCGCAGAACUGUCAAAGUCAUGCUGACCAUCUUCUUUGACUCCAGGCCGGCAUGGUUCAUCAUGAGUAUGCACCACAUGGCAUGACCAUCACCAAGGAGUAUUAUCAAGAGUUUCUGCGUUGCCUUUGCAAUGCUGUGAGAUGCAAACAGCCGGAGCUGUGGGCAGCGGGCAAUGGGCAGCUCCAUCACAAUAAUGCACCCGCCCAUUCUUCACAUUUGAUACACACUUUCCUGGCCAAACACAACACACCUAUGCUUCGUCAGACUCUCUCAUCCCCUGACAUGGCUCUGUGUGAUUUCUGGCUUUUCCCCAAGCUGAAAAUGCCCCUGAAAGGAAUCAGAUUUCAGUCCAGAGAAGACAUUAUGCAAAAUGCAAAGGAGCAGCUACGCACCAUCUCAAAAGAGGUGUUUCAACUUUGUUUCCGACAGGCAGAACCAUUGGGAGAAGCCCAAGGGGAUUACUUUGAAGGAGAUUAGUUUGUUGUAUCCUAAUACAAAUAUAUAUAUUUUUAUGAAUAAAGGUUGGAUACUUUUUGAACACAACUCGUAUGUGCCUGCAAGGAGUGGGGGAAAAAAAGAGGAAGUUCAGUUGUAUGCAUGACUUUGUUCUCCUGCAAUUAUUCUUAGUCUGAAAAAUGUAACAUAUCUACUUUGUUGCCCUCCGCCCCAUGGCUCUCACUAUGCACCAUACUAUUAUUUUCCUUUUUCUUUGAAAUAAAACGUAAGCAAAUUCUUUAGUUCCAGUAAAA